CCUACGGGGGGCAGCAGUAGGGAAUCUUCCACAAUGGGCGAAAGCCUGAUGGAGCAACGCCGCGUGUGUGAAGAAGGUCUUCGGAUCGUAAAACCCUGUUGUUAGAGAAGAAAGUGCGUGAGAGUAACUGUUCACGUGUCGACGGUAUCUAACGAGUAAGCAACGGCUAACUACGUGCCAGCAGCCGCGGUAAUACGUAGGUGGCAAGCAUUAUCCGGAUUUAUUGGGCGUAAAGGGAGCGCAGGCGGUCUUUUAAGUAUGAUGUGAAAGCCUCCGGCUUAACCGGAGUAGUGCAUUGGAAACUGGGUGACUUGAGUGCAUAAGAGGAGAGUGGAACUCCAUGUGUAGCAGUGAAAUGCGUAGAUAUAUGGAAGAACACCAGUGGCGAAGGCGGCUCUCUGGGCUGUAACUGACGCUGAGGUUCGAAAGCGUGGGUAGCAAACAGGAUUAGAUACCCGUGUAGUC
rnacentral:rRNA from 1 species